GACGAACGCUGGCGGCGUGCUUAACACAUGCAAGUCGAACGGUGAAGCCCUUCGGGGUGGAUCAGUGGCGAACGGGUGAGUAACACGUGAGCAACCUGCCCCUGGCUCUGGGACAACCACUGGAAACGGUGGCUAAUACCGGAUACGACCCGCCUCGGCAUCGAGUGUGGGUGGAAAGUUUUUCGGCUGGGGAUGGGCUCGCGGCCUAUCAGCUUGUUGGUGAGGUGAAGGCUCACCAAGGCGACGACGGGUAGCCGGCCUGAGAGGGCGACCGGCCACACUGGGACUGAGACACGGCCCAGACUCCUACGGGAGGCAGCAGUGGGGAAUAUUGCACAAUGGGCGAAAGCCUGUUGCAGCGACGCCGCGUGAGGGAUGACGGCCUUCGGGUUGUAAACCUCUUUCAGCUCCGAAGAAGCGAAAGUGACGGUAGGAGCAGAAGAAGCACCGGCUAACUACGUG
rnacentral:rRNA from 1 species